AGUGGGGGUCCAGCCUUGGCAGGAUCAAGGGCUUCUCUGCCCCUUGAUGCCCAAGGCCAUCCUCUGAUACAUAUGCAGCUGGAACCAUAGAGCUGGGGACCGAACCCAGGGCCUUGAGCUUCCUAGCCCCGCACUUGUAGCUAGGAGUCUAGCACAGCUGGAGAAGCUCAGCUAGGGGCUGAUUGUCUGCACAAGCCAGUAUCAAAGGCAGCAGUUUCUCCACUUCUAUGGACAUUUAAGAGUUCAUACUGGAUUGCCUGGACCCCUUAGUGAGGGCAAUGCUACAGCAGAUUUGUAUACCAUGCAGGUUACACAUUUUACAUAGGAGCAGUUAUCCAGGAUGAUGAAGGAACAUGGUACCUGCCAGAGAGAAUGGUGAGACAUGUUGAAGCUGGAACAAAGAAUGAUGCUGACUGCAAUCUUGACAAGUGCCCUGACAAUGAUGAUGAGAAGCUGUAUUGGACAUAUGUUCCUGACUCACCUUUGCUUGUCUACAUCCCAGAUUGGACAAGCCGACUUGCUACAAGCUUUUAGACCUUGUGGGACAGAGAAUAUAGAGACUGGAAAUUGCCAUUGAAAAAGUAAUCAAAUAGGAAGUUAUAAUGACUCUUUCCUUUAAUGUGACAUUGUCCCGCGCUACGUCUCGCCAGCAGGAACGACGCGGCACACACAGGAUCCUACUGCAGAAAAGCUUUAAUGCAUCUUGAGAGGGAGAGCAUAAGCUUACAAUGCGGAGAUGCCAAGUGAGGAAUAACCGUCCCUUAUAUAGGAAACUAUCCUCGCCUGGGACGUGUCACUCUCUGACUGGUCGCUGCCAAUUAUGCCAGAUGACAUACCAAAGCAUACGGGUCCCUUUGAGUAGGGAAGUUACCAGGCGCCUGCGUAUUGCCCUUUUUACUAGGUGCAUUCUGCCGGAUGCCGGUGCCAUCUUGUAAUGGAGUAUGUGAGGACAGUUCCUCACAUCACAUUAUGCUGAAUCAAUCAUGGGCUGCUCUAGAAAUCAAACCAAUAUUGGAAAAAAAAGGAAAUGACAGUCUUCAUCAGAAGGCUGGUCCUGGACAUUUUCAGAGAAACAUUUGGAAUUUAGCUGCAGUCCUUUAUGAAGAUAUGUUAGCAAUAAAUAAAACUGGGACAGGAUCUGGACUUUGAACAAUUGUUAGUGCAUAUGUUAAGGCUCCCAAUCUUUUAUUAAUUAGUCAUGUUAAAAUUACUUUUGUUUCUUCCAUAGUAUUUAAUGUAAGUUGUAUUGACUGUACACUUUCUAACUGUUUUAAUGUGUUGAAGUCUGACAAAUCUGUUAUGGUGGUUUAUCAACCAGCUUCUGUUUUACUGCUGUGAGGAUUACAGGAAUUGGUAUUCUGGAAAAAUUCACAAGUACUGGAAGAAAUGAGGCAGGCUUUAGACAGAAGCAAGAGGG
ensembl:lncRNA